AAAACAACUCACAAGGCAAAAAAGCACAUCUCAUGGAUGGAACAUGGUGAAGUGGUUACGAGAACAGACUUUGGAGCCAGACUGCCUGGGUUUGAAUUGUGCAGUUUCAGGUUGAGGAAGUAAAGAGAAUAGGCAUAAAUGGUGGGAAAUUUACAUCAGCUU